UUUCCAUUUCCUUUCGUUGUAAUUAGAUUUUUCUUGUGCAGCGUUGUUGUAUUUGUUUGAUUCAUCACUGACGUCAGUCUCUGUUUUGGAGAUUACAAAUCUUACGGUCCCGGCAAAGAAAUUUGCAGGUUCGGUGCUGGAUUCCAUGCAACGUUUAUAUAUUUAUGCAGUACUGGUGUUUGAUGUCUUCGUGCCACUACUUCAGUGAAACUACACCGUUUCCAAACAAAGACAUCGUAGCAGAUCCAGACUUUCUGCUUUAUUCUGGUGUAAACCUACACAAGUGUUCAGAGUACUUCCAUCUCAGCAUGGUGUCCACUGUGAAGUGUGUGUUCAGAGUACUUCCAUCUCAGCAUGGUGUCCACUGUGAAGUGUGUGUUCAGAGUACUUCCAUCUCAGCAUGGUGUCCACUGUGAAGUGUGUGUUCAGAGUACUUCCAUCUCAGCAUGGCACCCACUGAAGUAUGUGUUCAGAGUACUUCCAUCUCAGCAUGGCGUCCACUGUGAAGUGCGU